GCGUAGGAUAUUUGAGAGGAUUUGUCCCUAGUACGAGAGGACCAGGAUGAACGCACCUAUUGUGCACCGGUUGUCGCGCCAGCGGCACAGCCGGGUAGCGAAGUGCGGAUGGGAUAAACGCUGAAGGCAUCUAAGCGUGAAACCCACCUCAAGAUGAGAUAUCCCGUAUCGAAAGAUAAGAAGACCCCUUGAAGACGACAAGGUCGAUAGGUCGGAGGUGUAAGUACAGUAAUGUAUUCAGCUGACCGAUACUAAUAGGUCAAGGGCUUAAUCAC
rnacentral:rRNA from 1 species